AACGAACGCUGGCGGCAUGCCUAACACAUGCAAGUCGAACGAGACCUUCGGGACUAGUGGCGCACGGGUGCGUAACGCGUGGAAAUCUGCCCUAGGGUGCGGAAUAACUCGGAGAAAUCCGUGCUAAUACCGCAUAAUGUCUUCGGACCAAAGAUUUAUCGCCCUGGGAUGAGCCCGCGUAGGAUUAGCUAGUUGGUGGGGUAAAGGCCUACCAAGGCGACGAUCCUUAGCUGGUCUGAGAGGAUGAUCAGCCACACUGGGACUGAGACACGGCCCAGACUCCUACGGGAGGCAGCAGUGGGGAAUAUUGGACAAUGGGCGAAAGCCUGAUCCAGCAAUGCCGCGUGAGUGAUGAAGGCCCUAGGGUUGUAAAGCUCUUUUACCCGGGAUGAUAAUGACAGUACCGGGAGAAUAAGCUCCGGCUAACUCCGUGCCAGCAGCCGCAGUAAAAC
rnacentral:rRNA from 1 species